UCGGGAAUUUUGGGCAAUGGGCGAAAGCCUGACCCAGCAACGCCGCGUGAAGGAUGAAGUAUUUCGGUAUGUAAACUUCGUAAGAAUAGGAAGAAUAAAUGACGGUACUAUUUGUAAGGUCCGGCUAACUACGUGCCAGCAGCCGCGGUAAUACGUAGGGACCAAGCGUUGUUCGGAUUUACUGGGCGUAAAGGGCGCGUAGGCGGUUUGUCAAGUCAGUUGUGAAAUCUCCGAGCUUAACUCGGAACGGUCAACUGAUACUGUCAAACUAGAGUACAGAAGGGGCAAUCGGAAUUCUUGGUGUAGCGGUGAAAUGCGUAGAUAUCAAGAGGAACACCUGAGGCGAAGGCGGGUUGCUGGGCUGAUACUGACGCUGAAGCGCGAAAGCUAGGGUAGCAAACGGGAUUAGAUACCCUAGUAGUCC
rnacentral:rRNA from 1 species